GCGAAUUUGAAAUGGGAAGAUUUUUUGAAACUCCCAAACAUAAUUUGAAAUGUGAACAAAAAGAAAACAAAAGGAGAAGAAAAAGGAAUUGAAAAAUAAAAUAAAGAAACAAAAAAACGAAGAAAGAAAAAGAAAAAAACAGGAAAAACAACAAAGAAAAAACAAACAGAAAAAACCAGUGAAAACCCGGUUCAAGAACCUUCUAGAAGGUUCCCAAAACCGGAAGCUGUAGCGCCAGCGCUAUCUCCUAACUGGGCCGGCCCAUCUUGAUCGCUAUCGCUAGCUCUUUGUGCGAAGCCUAGACAAGUCGACGCAGCGAGCGUCGAAUAGGAUUUUCCCAUGCAUCAUGCAUCAUUAAUAAGAAAAAACAUACAGGUUGGGCCACCGCACUCAUACGAAUGGACCAUGCCAUCAGCGAUGAGGCCAUCUCAGAAAAAAAGGUUCUAAUGUGCUUAAAAAAACAAACUGUCAUAUCUCUCCAAACAGAAUGUGUCCACACAGAAUCCAAUUUUUUCCAUCGUGCAAACAUGAGAAACUUAACCAUCCAUAUAAGACCUUCCCCACAACCUCAUAGGUUCGUUGUCCUCGAGAUUUUAGGUUACAACUUCUACAUGAUCUUGGUCCCACAUCAUCUUCCUCCGGCGACCCAAACUUCGACAUCAACUUCAGAAUUGUCUUCCUCCAGUGACCACAGGAUAGCUCUGUCAAGCAAUCAGGAAACAUCAAGUAAGUUCAAUCUGCACGAAAUUAUAAAUGAUAACGAUUCAUGGAUCAAUGAUGGUUCAAUUAUGCUCUACGCAGUCCUCAUCUAAGAAUAUUUGACAUGUUACCUCAGAAGGUUGAUUACGUAAAAUCCUAUAGGUGUGGGUUCAUGUCUUAAUGGUGUCAUGUUCAUAUUUUUUACGCAUCUACAAAAGGCUAAUGCCAUGGAUGUUGAUUGCUGUGAUAUAGAUAAACAUAUAUGGUGCAUCAGAUGGUGUUCAUGUUAUAGAUCAGACCUAUUAAUGGAUCAAUGAUACUUAGAUUAUACUGUCGGUAGUGCUAAUCUAAAAAGAUUUCACAUGUUAGCUCACAAGUUUCAUUAUGUACAAACAGAUAUGAUGGUGUCCAUGUUUGAUCAACCUCAGAUGCUAUAGUGGUUUCCUUUCAUAAUGCCAGCAGCUCCAUCUGAAACAAAAAUAAAAAACAAUUGUCAAUAAAAUUGUAUUGGUUCAUCUACUAUGAUUUCAUAUAGACUCAUCUAUACAUACAUAGUUGGUUCCUGUAUUUGGUCAACCUCAGAUGCUAUGGGGUUCCUGUCGUAAUUCCAGCAGCUCCAUCUGAAACAAAAUUUAAGACCAAUUGUUAAUAAAAUUGUAUCAGUCCAUCUACUAUGAUUUCAUAUAGACUCAUCUACAGAAGGCUAAUGCCAUGGAUGUUGCUUCCAGUGUUUUCACGUUAAGAUAACAUACAAUCGAAGUCUAGAAUCAUACAACUAUAACAGAAAGAAGUGGGAUUGCUUGCUGCGAUAUAUAUAAACAUAUAUGGUGCAUCAGAUGGUGUUCAUAUUAUAGAUCAAACCUAUUAAUGCAUCAAUAAUACUUAAAUUACACUAUAGGCAGUGCUAAUCUAAAAGCGACAAAAAUAUUUUGUAUUUAUAGAGCUUGCAUGUCAUUAUUACUUACUUUAUCAAUCAACACUUUGUUCUUAUAUUUUUAGGGCCUCAAAGAUUAUGGCACACACCGCUGAAUGCAUCGACUACAGGAAACGAGACAUGGACAAUGAAAGUCAAAGUUUUAAGACUUUGGAACACAAUUAACUUAUUAACUAAUGAACUCAUUAGCACUGAUAUGAUUUUAUUAGAUAAAAAAGUGCAAGUAUUACAUAUAUAAUGUCUCUUCAAUUUACCCUUUCCAAAGUUUGCUGGUGUUUUCUCUCUAUGUAAGGUGAUGUAUUCUAUUGGGAGCAAACUGGUCAAUAAAUUUAAAUCAAAAAUUAAAGAGGUACAAAAUUAAGACCAUCAAAGUCUGGGAGUAUGAAAAAUACCGACCAUUGAAGAACAAUCUCAAAAUAAGUUUUGUCUAUGAUACAACGAUGAAGGAAGUGGAUGAAGGAAAAUCCAAGUUUUUGGACUACCACUUCGAAUUUGUUGAUGGUGAUACCUUGGAUAGUAGGGUGAUUAUUGAUAAAUAGUGCUCAGGUACAAUCAAAGUCCAUAUCGAAGAACAAGCAUCAGUGAACUAGAUUUUUAAGUAUGAUUAUGUGCAGAUGUCAUUGGAUUGCUUACUGCAAUGAAGCCAAUAUAGCAUGUGCAAAAAUAAAUAAAGGGACGGGCAUGGCGCAAACUUCAAACGUCCGUGAGAUUGAAGUCCUUUUACUAGAUAUUUUAUAGAUAUUUUUGAAUUACAUAUAUAAACGGGCAUGGCACUGAGAUUGAAGUCCUUCUCUCUAUGUAAAGUGAUUAUAUUCUAUAGAUAUUUUUGAAUUACAUAUAUGAUAUUUAUAUCACUUUUUCAUGAUUAAAUGCAUGAAGUGGUGAGAUAAUCAGAAUCACGCUGUGGGGGGAUAUUUGCAAAUAUGGUGAAUGAAAGGCUUUUAAACAAACAAACAAUAGUGAUUAUCACUUCAAAUUUGGUCAGAAAACUAAAUGGUGAGAACUAUAAUCUCUAUGUGUAAACCUGAAUCCAAAUUACUGACAAUUUAUUACUAGGGCUAUCACUACGCACGACAAAUGCAUCUAAAGUCCUGAAAUUCCAGAGACAGACCAAAUUAUUGAGAGGUAUGUAUAUAAUAAUGCAAUUAUGUAUGUUUUUGAAGUUACAAGUUUAUGUGCUCAUAUUGUAAUGUAUUAUAGGCAUUGUGAAAGCGAUGUUACUCCAACAAUGGUUGGAAUUGACGAAGCACCCAAGGAACGAUUGAAGAGCAAAUGUUCUACAAUAAAAAAAACAUUGAGGGAAAUUAUAGAACUACGAUAUGUUGAUGUUAAAAGAAAGGUUUCCCUCUAACCUUGAUCAUAAAAAUCUUAUACCUUAUCUAUUUUACAUUAUUAUGUAAACUCAUAUGUUUUAUCUUUAAUAAGAAUUUGUAUGCAGAACAAAAGCAACAAUUGAUGAUAUUAUAACAGAAAAACCAUAACUAUAUUUGCACUUCCUGUCAUUAAGUAUCUGAAAAUCCCAAUAUAAGGUGAGCAUGUUAUGCACUAGAUUGUCUUUGGUGACAUUUCUUUUAAUAAUAGACCAGUAAUAACUGACCAUCAUAUUAGGUACCUAAUUAAACUCAAGGUACGCGAGGACACGGCAACAACAACUUUCGUUAUGUUUAAUGAGGUAGCAAAAAGUCUUUUAGGCAACAUAUCUGCAUCAACCCUAUUAGAGCAGGAGGGAUUCAACAACAUAGUACCAGAUAUUAUUCAAGACCUUUAUGGCAGAACACUCAUAUUCCGACUUAAGUUAAAUUCAAGGAAUUUAUAAGAGUGUAUGGAAAAUUUUGAAGUGAGCUUCACUUUUGAAGUUGAUGACAGACUUGAGAUGGAAUAUUCAAAUGAAAUAUUUGAAGAGGUAUGCAUAUGCACAUUUCAGUAUUUAAAAUAGUUUAUACAAUUAUAAUGCAAGUACAUUCUUUAUAGGGCAUACUGGAAAGGCAAGACACACAAGGUUCUUCAAAUUUUGCUAUGCAGAAGUCCGAUAACGAGGUAUUGCCACUAAUUAAUGGUUUUGCUGUCACGAGUGUGCAAUUUUUGUUAUAAAAUAUUUAAAAAAAAAUUAUAGGUCAACCACUCCUCCAAGAAUGCAAGAAAUGAUGAGGAGGAGGAUAUGUGCUGAAAGGAAACCUCUAAAUCAUCUAACAAAAAGCAACAAAGGAGGACAAAGAGACAGAAGUCUAGCAAAAUAUAUGAAAAAGAUGUGACAAUGUUUGCUUCCAGAAAUAGCAGAAAACCAAUUGUUAAAAUCGAAGCUCCUGAUGACAAGGUAACAAAUUGAAAAAAUUUAUCUUCCUGUAUAUGCAUUGAUAAUUGUUUACAGCCUAUUUAUUUAUGACAUCACAAAACACACAGGAAGAGCCAAAAACUGUUUCGCAGAAGAUAAAAGGAGAGACCAAACAUAAGAGAUGUAAACAGGAUUUGAAAAGAAAGGCUUUGCGAAAUAAAAAGAAGUUCUUAUAGAGAGCAAUCUACUCGAUAAUGAGGUAUUCUUUCAAAUUAAUUACCCUCAUCUAUAUGUACUAAAAAUAAUAAUCCAUGACAGUGUAUCUGUCAAUUCCCACUUUGGACUAAUUUUGUAUGCAUUUGAUCUUAUAUAUGUAUUACAUAAUACUCCCUCCGCCCAAAAUUCUUGUCUUAGAUUUGUCUAAAUACGGAUGUAUCAAGUCACGUUUUAGUAUCAGAUACAUCCGUAUCUAGGAAAAUCUAAGACAAGAAUUUUAGGAUGGAGGGAGUACAUUGUUAAAUAUGACGAUGAUAUACAAGCUUAAUAUCUACCAUGCAUUUAUGGAAAUUUAUGAAUGUUUCAAUAAUAACAUUGUUCCUGCAUUUAUGCAGCGAGACAACAAUAGUCACGCCGACAACAACUGUACCAGCACAGAUGACCGUAAUGAAGAAUGGAACGCCAAAACUAGAAGCAGAACAAAGAAGGAAAGGACAAAUUGCAUAAAGAGGAGGAAAAUAUCAUCUGAAGACAUGCAGCCAACCUUGUAUGAUAGACCUAAGAGGAUUAGGAGAGAACCAGCGAAAUACAUGGGCUAGGCAUUAUACAUCAGCAAGUGCUUACAUACGUCCAAUAGCUGCAAGAAUUGAAGAAUAUACUAUACACACUCUAUACUUAGUAGUAAUUUGCAUUGAUAAACAAUUAUGUUUAUUUUAUGCUCCACGAGAGUAAUGUUUAUAUACUUAAAUUAUUUGGUUACACUCGCUUGUGUCUUCUUUAGCAUCUACCUCAUUCAACACUAACAACGCCCAUAAAGAAAUAAACACUGAUUAUUUUUAAGAAUUGAAGAAAAUCGAAGUAGGCAUACCCAACUGGAGAUGAAGACACAUAGCAUGAAUGGAGCAUAUAAACAUUCCCAAAAAACACCUCCUUAAGAUUGACAUGUGGCUCUCUUACUCUUCAUGUCACAAAUAUGAUAUCACCUGUCCAAAUCAAAUAAAAAAAUUGAUAUCUAAACAAGAUAAUAAAUUAAAUUACUAUAAAACAGACUAAAGGAAAACAUUUUGCGAUUACUAUAAAACUUCUAGAUGGGUGCUGGCUUGGAUUCUAGGCAGAGUAGAAGUCGUGUACAUCGCCAAAACACACCGUAUGGUGACGCACAAAAUGCCCUGGUAAAGUAUACACUAACUUAUACAGUAUAUACUUACAUUUUUAAAAUGUACACUAACUUAUUAGUAUCUACUCUAUACCUCAUUCAACACGUAUAGAUCACUUAAAAAACAUGCUAUUCAAGAAUUUAAGGGAAAAAUAUGAAAUAAUUACAGCUAACAAGCAUUACCUUAAUUAAAUUAUAUUGGUUGAAUGGCACAAGGACAGGAAAAGGCUAGGAGAAAGGGGAAAUAUUACAGUCAGGAAAAGGAAAAAUAAGGACCUGCAGCUCAACUUGGAACAAUGUUGCCGUUGCAGACCUGCGGGAGAUGAUAUCCAAGACCAAAUCAACUGCACGGACGACAGCAUCAACGGCAGCGUCCAGAUCGAUGACCUCGCCUAGACUCUGGUGUAGUAGAUCCUUGGGCCCUGCUAACCCUCAAUCGUCGUCGAUGGUCACCCCGUCGAAGCACCAGGUGCGGGGGUGGCUUCAGGUUAGGACGAGCAUCCUGAAUGCAGGGAAUCAAGAGAGCAACCUGAUGGGUGGUAUCCAACAUCAGCAAAUUUUAACUGAGAAGAAAAAUAAGAGGAGAGGAGAAAGGGGAUCGGCCAAGAACAUUCUCACUUGUGUGAGAAAGAAGAAUGGAGAAGUCCAGAAGACUACAGAA
rnacentral:lncRNA from 1 species